rnacentral:rRNA from 1 species
AAACAGAUGCUAAUACCGGAUAAAAGCUACUUCGCAUGAAAGAAGUUUAAAAGGACGGCGUAAGCUGUCGCUAAAGGAUGGACCUGCGAUGCAUUAGCUAGUUGGUAAGGUAACGGCUUACCAAGGCGAUGAUGCAUAGCCGAGUUGAGAGACUGAUCGGCCACAUUGGGACUGAGACACGGCCCAAACUCCUACGGGAGGCAGCAGGC